rnacentral:rRNA from 1 species
UACAGAGGAUGCAAGCGUUAUCCGGAAUGAUUGGGCGUAAAGCGUCUGUAGGUGGCUUUUUAAGUCCGCCGUCAAAUCCCAGGGCUCAACUCUGGACAGGCGGUGGAAACUACCAAGCUGGAGUACGGUAGGGGCAGAGGGAAUUUCCGGUGGAGCGGUGAAAUGCGUAGAUAUCAGGAGGAACACCGGUGGCGAAGGCGGCUUUCUGGACAGAUACCGACGCUGAGGCACGAAAGCUAGGGGAGCAAACAGG